GGCGGCCUCGCCGAGGGCCGGUGUUUUUCGCCCUCCCUCGGCCGCCAGAGGCUCCCUCUCCCUCUCCUGGGAUUUCGCUGCUGGGCUCCCUCUCUCCGCGGCCCUAGAGUUAAUCCCAUCAGCCGAGGGAGCUCGUCUUUUCCCGUGCCACACCGGGAGCCGCAGCCCCUGUGUUAGGACUUCAGGUGCUCCUGGCACAAAGCUAGACUGCGACCUCCUACCUAGCGUUUGGCGUCACCUGCUCUCCCGGCCCUGCCCCGGGGGGCCGAGGGACUGCGCCCGAACCAGGCUUGUGAACCGGAUGCCUCUCAAAUCUCGGAGUAUUUGUCUGUUGGCUUAUUGAUGGAAAAUCCAGCUGUGGGUGAGAGAGCAGCAAGCUUGUGCUCCCUUGUGCUUUAAGCCUGUAGUAAGUUAGAGGUAAGAAGGAAUAAACAAAUCAAGGCUGUGAAAAAUGUCAUGGUAUAUUUGCUUUUUGAUUGUCACUUUCCCAUACAUUUGUUCCCGUCAUGGACAACAUCCCACCUCAUAAUUAAUAUCCACUGUUGGGAAUCCUCCAAAUAUUGGUUAUAACUGAACUUAGGGUGAAACUUAUUGGCAUUCAGGAACUUUUUCCUGCUUGUUUCUAAGAGUGCACUGGUGUUGCUUUGGAGGAUGCUGUAAAUCAGAACAUUGGAUCAGAAAGAGUAAAAUAAUAAGCCUCAUUAGGCAUGUUAGGAGUGUGUAUAUUACAGACUUUUGAUUGUACUUAGAAAAAGUUUUACCCGAUGAUGGAGAAUCCCAAAUGAAAUUGAUUUUGUGGACAUUUUGG
rnacentral:lncRNA from 1 species